AGGGGGUGACGUCACGGCGGCAGCUCCUCCCGCGCAGCUGCGCAGACGAGCGGAACCUGGAGGCUGCGCUGGGAUUCUCCGACCCGCUGCUCCCGCCGCGAGGUGAGGGCCUGAGCGGGCAGGGAAGGGGCCGUAGGGCUGGCCACGCACCUGACGGGCUUGUGCUCCUGCAGACCAUGGGCGCUCAGCUGAGCGGCGGCGAGGGCGCCGCGGGGCCGGCGCAGCCCCAGCCCCAGCCCCAGCCCGCGGCCCCCGAGGCUCCGGAGCGGCCUGGGCCCGAGCCCAGCCCCUGGGGGCCCCUGGACGACGUGCGCUUCCUCAUCGCCUGCACCUCCUGGUACUGACCGCCCCGAGUCACCGCUCACCGCCGGUUCUGUUCGCCUCGCCUGGUCCGGCUCUGUGGUCUGUCCCCACCGCCCCCCCUCCGGUUCCCCAGAGUCGAGGAUUGAGGAGGUCCAGGGGCCUGGAAGGCAGUCCCGGCAGAGCUGCCUCCACAGCUGCGCCUUGGGACACCUCGAAAUUGUUCGCUCCCCACCCUACAUCCAAACCACCUCAGCUUUCCUGCUCACCCGCUCCCUACAGCGCCAGCCAUCUGGGUCCUGGCUCAGUCAAGACCAGGCUAGGGUUCUUGGUAAGACCCUAAAGCUACUCACCUCACCUCACUUGUUCCUUAUUGCUGAGAACUCAGCUCCUGCUUUUGUUCGUGGUCACUGCACGAUGUGCCUUGACUUCAGAGAAGACCUUGCUGCAGUGACUUCCUGAAGUCCUCCUCGGGGAGGUUGCUCCUCCAGCCUGGAUCCCAGGGAGGCGUUAUCAGGCUGCAUUUCAGGACCCUAGUUACACUGGGCCUCUCGGAGAGGGGACGUGUGAUUGCUGGGCUUGCCGAUGAGAUGAAUGGGGCAGUUCCCGGACACCCCAAAGUACCCUGUUUCCCUUCUCCCAGAAGCUUCUUAGGCCACUCUCAGAACCUGUUCCUCUUUCCCACAUCCAAGGGAAAUGACAGACUCUGUAUUUUUGUUUUAUUUAGAAAUGAUUUAAAAAACAUUAUACAAAGGCUGAUCAGUUUAAAAUGUGACUGACACUGAAAUGCUGUGAUGUUCCCCAGGCCGAGGGGAAGCUGGGCUCUGGGGCCCCCGGUUGCUUUGCCCCUCUGUCUGCUCUGUCCUGGGGUGAUGGACAAACAGAUGAUCACAAGGCAGGAUAAUCCGAGUUUGGAAGCCUCCAGGCUGAGCCCUCUCUGGGUCUAGCCUUGCAUCCCUCACAUCUGCAGCCUGGGCUGCCUGCCUCCAUCUCCUGCUCUUUCUCAGCUGACCGCGGUAGUACCAGGAGCCAACGGGAGCCUGUGGGGCCUAGAGCGUUCAAGAAGUGAGAGCACCAACCUGAGGAGUGGAGGGGGACCAGGGCGGGGAGAAGGGAGGCCAGGAAAAGAUGGAUAAAAGAGACACUGCUGACCUCAUCUUGGACCUUCGAGGGGUCCACAGGUGGAGACCAAGGCCCAGCCAGCUCACUGGAUGGCCUGGGCGUGUAACAACCUCUCUGUGCUUCAUUUGAGGGUGUGAUGAAAAUUACCCUUGGCCUCCCAGGGCCUACACUAGUUUCAUGUGAGUGGACAGGUGUGAGCUAAUAAAGUGCUUUGCAAAGUAUAAAA